rnacentral:lncRNA from 1 species
AUCUUAAUUUCUUCUUGUCCUUUAUGUAUUCAAAAGCUCCGGUGCAUACCCAUUGCUUAUGACUCAUUUUUUGACUUAUUUCUGUCGGUGGCUUUUCGUUCAUAUGUAACUUUCACUUAUGAUUUUUUGGCUCCCAUCCUUUUCAAAGGUUUUUCAUGACCCUUUCCGCUUCAUCUACGUACUUGUCUUUUUUCUUCAACAAGUCAUGCAUCAAUUUCAAAGAGUUUAUUGAAAGCAACACUUAAAUGCUGGGUUCCGCAUUCCAUUCAAGAACGCAGUGACUAAGAUAAACAUUUGAAGGUCCUUUAUGUCAAGUGUAGCACAACUAAACUUGGCAAGUAAUCUUGUAAAGGCUCAUUUUUCUCUUGAACAACUUGUAUCAAUCCAAUGGUUGUCUUCCGCUUCUCUUACUACAUAAGAAAUAGGCUACAAAGCUCCUUGAGAGCUCAUCAAAAGUUCUGAUAGAUCAGGGUGCCAAAGUUGUUACUUGAUUUCUGGCCCCUCUCCUUAGUGUUGGUGGAAAAAAUCGACAAAUCAUUACGUCUGGAGCUACAUAUAAUCUCAUUAAAUCAACAAAAAGUCAGUAGUGGUCAAGAGGAUCUAUGAGUCAUCAUAUGCCUCUAUCAUUUGUUGCUUGAAGUCUUUUAAUAGAAAGGCUGCCAUGAUCUCUGGUGCGAAGGGAUCUUCUUCCAAGACCAUUUGCCUUUGCCUAUCAUUUUUUCAUGAACUUUAAUAUCUAUCUUUGGGACAUCAUUUCCUCCAUUUUAUGUUAUAAGUAUAUCAUCGGACGUGGAGCCUGUAAGUCUUUAACUUCAUGAGCCCCCAUGUUUGUUACCAUUGGCUGAAUGAUUGGGGGACAACCAUUUGUAUCGCUCGUGGCGGUUGUCCGUGCACAUUUUGUGGUUGGACUUCCGGUGGAUUAAAGGAUGGGACGACUGUCAUCUGAGCUUGAUUUUGUAAAAGAGUCAUCAUGCCUUCCAAUAGAGUCUCCAAAAUGCUAAAUUGGCUUUGAGUUACAUACUAAGGCAGUGGUAGAAGAAGUAGGUCUUGACCCCCUAAUAGAUUUCGACUCUAUAUUAUUUUUGACCAAGGGCAUGUCACUCUUAGUUUGCCUUUAUGACAUAGCUUUUAUAUUCAAUGUUUUUCUGCAAACGGCGCCAAUGAAAUAGUAAAGAAAUGACCUAUGGACUUCCUUAGCAGAGCAAGGUAGCUUCUGCUACUUCAAUAAACAAUAAAAAGAGGCUAGGGCUUCUUUCCCACUGUACCUCGAGCUUGAGAAUUAGUGAUGAGGUUUUGAAUAUAAUUGCUCAAAAAGAAAUGAGAGGAAGCCAAAAAAUGUAUUGUAAAAAAAGAAGAUCCCCUUAUUUGAGACGUCUUUGGAGUAUUUAUAGGCAUUCAGC